rnacentral:rRNA from 1 species
CCUACGGGAGGCAGCAGUGGGGAAUAUUGCACAAUGGGGGAAACCCUGAUGCAGCAACGCCGCGUGGGUGAAGAAGUAUUUCGGUAUGUAAAGCCCUAUCAGCAGGGAAGAGAAUGACGGUACCUGACUAAGAAGCACCGGAUAACUACGUGCCAGCAGCCGCGGUAAUACGUAGGGGGCAAGCGUUAUCCGGAUUUACUGGGUGGAAAGGGAGCGGAGACGGUUGUGCAAGUCUGAAGUGAAAGCCCGCGGGUCAACUGCGGAACGGAUUUGGAAACUGUGUAACUGGAGUGCUGGAGAGGUAAGCGGAAUUCCUGGUGUAGCGGUGAAAUGCGUAGAGAUCAGGAGGAACACCGGCGGCGAAGGCGGCUUACUGGACAGUAACUGACGUUGAGGCUCGAAAGCGCGGGGAGCAAACAGGAUUAGAUACCCCUGUAGUC